CAGGGGUUAGUCCCACAAAAUAUACCAAUAUCUACUCAAGCAGUUUUUAGUUCAAUAACCGAACUAGACUCCAUGUCUAAUCAGAUUAAGGAAGGCUAUUUAACCUAAGCGCCACGCUUAAUUUAAAAGCUAAUAGAAGUAUGUGCAGUACUUCCAAACUAACACUUACUAGGAUAAACAAAGGUAGCGUGAUGGCAUUUAUAGAGAUCUACUUAAGUGGAGAUGAAGUAGUGUGAUUAGUAUUUAACAAAUUGAGCAUGUCUA
rnacentral:lncRNA from 1 species